GAAGCACGUUGGCGACCCCUACCCUAAGGCCCACAUCCGGUGCUCGCCCCCAGUUUACUCUUUCCUGGCUAUAGAUAUUUGGGUGGGGCGAGGGCUUUUCAUGAAAGGACAGAAAACUCCACUUUUAUCCGGGGGGGAAACUGGUGCAUCAUUCCCCAACAUCACAUUUAUAAUCUGCUACAUUCAUGGCUUUCCUCCCAUUGAUGAAAAAAGAAGGGCAAAACGGAAGCGUGUGGCUUGUGUUGCGAGACUGCAAGGCACAAAUCUAAAUACAGCCGCCCAUGCGACUCUUCCCAACACAAAGCAAUUAAAUGUGUGGGAUGUGGGUGAACGGAUUCCAGAAAAAGGGACACAAGUGGGACAGCAGCACAUACCCUGUGCGAUGAGACGGAUUUGCAGCCCUUACACGGUGCAAGCUCCAGCACGCUGCAACAUGGGCAUCAGAGAGAACACGCCUCGCACCGCCCCACAUGGAGGAAGCCCCGACUUCUCUAUCUGCCUGCCAGACCCAACACCCCAGGGCUGCUAUAUCCCUCGUUUUGCACGCAGAUUAUUGCCAAGCUGCACCUCCACUCGCACCAAGCCCAUCAUUUGAGACAUAAGCAAGGCUGCAAAUGCCUCGACGCCAAAGCUUGCAGAAACACACACUUAGGAAAGGGAGAGCAGAAAGCAAUGGAUGAGACCCUCGGCAUCACCCCCACCUCUGCCUGGGGGAAGAAGAAAAUCCCUCCCUGCACGCCCAUCCUUGGAGAUUUCUCCCCCAACUUCGCAAGGAAGGGAGACUUUCUCUCUUGUUAGAAAUAAAAGGAUAAAGGGACGAAGGUGCAUGGUCGAAGGAGGGAAGGCGAGGAGAAGAGCAGGGGAACGAAGACCAAGAGCAGGCAUUCGUGCUUCGGCGCUUGAGCUACUGGCGGAGGACAGCAAGGAAAAUGAGGAUGCAAUAAUAAUAAUAAUAAUGGAGAAGCGGAGCAGAUUUGCAGAGGGAAAUGCAUUGCAAAGGACGAGGGGAGUGAGGAAGAGGAAGCAGCCCAGCGCCUUCCCCCAGUGCUAAAACAAUUCACCUUUUUUGUGAAGGAUGGUGUUGUGAGCUCUGGUUUCUCCGUGAAGCAGAGACUGCUAUGCCAGCCAAAUAAACAGAGAAGGAGCCCAGCAUCCUGCUCCCACUGUGACUGACCAAGGGAAGUCCAGGUGCUGUGCAUGAAUGCAGUAGCCCCCUCCUGCUCCCCAGUGACCCUAGAGACAGCAGUCAGCCAUUGGGGCCAGGAGCCACUGACAGCCUUACUUGCCAGUUUACCUCAAGCAGGGUUUCAGCACAGCCACUCCCUCUGAAUUGUGGUUCUCCUCAGCAGCUGCCUAAUCUGUGCGGUUGGGCUGGCCACCUGAGACCAUUUUUAUGCAUUUGAAUGGAAUGUGUCCUUUCCUAUGAAAGUUCUUCUGGCACAACAAAUAGGAGCCAUAGGACUCUUUUUGAGUCUGCCCAGAUGUUGUUUUAUGGAGCCAUUUUAUUGUGGGGGAUGCAGAUGUUUUCCCUCAAAAGUGGUGGUGGUGGGAACCCAGCACUCAACCCAAUGCUGCAAAUUAAAUUCCAAUACUGGGCCAAUAUAUGUCAAGUUGAUGCACAUUUUAAUACAUAACUUUAUUUUAUAAUGUAUAUUUUUAACUGAUGAUUUUAUUUAUAUUCCAAAUG